AAGUAGUCUGCAAUCAUUUCCUGGGACAAGGGAGAUUCACAAGAGCAAAGAAGUCUGUGUCUGAGUAGCUGAGAGGAUGCCUGGUUGGUGCAUGAAAUUCUUGAACUGGAUUUGUCUGUUACUUAGUGAUUGGGAAGUGGCAGCAAUGAGAAGUUAUGGAGUGGUGAGACUGAAUAACAGAAAAGAGAUGACAUUUCACAGCAGGAAAUCAGGAUUUAUGAGGCUAGUUAUAGUGAAGGGAAGAUGGAAAGCUGCACUAAUGAGAGAAUGGAAAGGAACACAGUCAAGAAAGGAGGAUGGUUUCCUGACCCAUGCUUCUGUUGAUGAAACCUGCCAGACAACCUCCUUUGUCCAGCCAACAACCUGAACUGAUGUAGCUUGGCAUGGCCCCACCUCUUCAAUGCAGAGAAGAACCAAUGUUCUUCACCAAUGUUGGGUGUCUGGUCUAUAUCUGUAUUGUAGGGAACCUGGACAUUUUGCCUUGAGCUCUUCUGCCAAGGUUUGAUCCACAUCUUGGUCAGGAAACACCAGGCCCUAGCCCUGAUAGGGGAGUCUAAGCUGAGAUGGUAUUUCUUUCCUUGCUCUCACCUGCA